UACGUAGGGGGCUAGCGUUGUCCGGAAUCAUUGGGCGUAAAGAGCGUGUAGGCGGCCCGGUAAGUCCGCUGUGAAAGUCGGGGGCUCAACUGGGGAGGGUCACGCGAUACUGAUCGACUCGAAGGCAGGAGAGGGUAGUGGAAUUCCCGGUGUAGUGGUGAAAUGCGUAGAUAUCGGGAGGAACACCAGUGGCGAAGGCGACUACCUGGCCUGUUCUUGACGCUGAGGCGCGAAAGCUAGGGGAGCAAACGGG
rnacentral:rRNA from 1 species